GCCAGUAGCAUGUUUUGUCUCAGAGAUUAAGCCAUGCAUGUCUAAGUAUGCAUGGCUGGUACAGUGAAACUGCGAAUGGCUC
rnacentral:precursor_RNA from 1 species